GAUGAACGCUGGCGGCGUGCUUAACACAUGCAAGUCGAACGAUGAAGCCCAGCUUGCUGGGUGGAUUAGUGGCGAACGGGUGAGUAACACGUGAGUAACCUGCCCUUAACUCUGGAUAAGCCUGGGGAAAACUGGGUCUAAUACCGGAUAGGAGCGUCCACCGCAUGGUGGGUGUUGGAAAGAUUUAUCGGUUUUGGAUGGACUCGCGGCCUAUCAGCUUGUUGGUGAGGUAAUGGCUCACCAAGGCGACGACGGGUAGCCGGCCUGAGAGGGUGACCGGCCACACUGGGACUGAGACACGGCCCAGACUCCUACGGGAGGCAGCAGUGGGGAAUAUUGCACAAUGGGCGCAAGCCUGAUGCAGCGACGCCGCGUGAGGGAUGACGGCCUUCGGGUUGUAAACCUCUUUCAGUAGGGAAGAAGCGAAAGUGACGGUACCUGCAGAAGAAGCACCGGCUAACUACGUG
rnacentral:rRNA from 1 species